CUACGGGAGGCUCCAGUGAGGAAUAUUGCACAAUGGGGGGAACCCUGAUGCAGCAACGCCGCGUGGAGGAUGACGCAUUUCGGUGUGUAAACUCCUUUUAUAUGUCAAGAAAAUGACGGUAGCAUAUGAAUAAGCGCCGGCUAACUCCGUGCCAGCAGCCGCGGUAAUACGGAGGGCGCAAGCGUUACUCGGAAUCACUGGGCGUAAAGGACGCGUAGGCGGGUUGAAAAGUCAGGUGUGAAAGCCUACAGCUUAAUUGUAGAACUGCACUUGAAACUCUCAAUCUAGAGUAUGGGAGGGGCAGAUGGAAUUAGUGGUGUAGGGGUAAAAUCCGUAGAUAUCACUAGGAAUACCUAAAGCGAAGGCGAUCUGCUGGAACAUUACUGACGCUAAGGCGUGAAAGCGUGGGGAGCAAACAGGAUUAGAUACCCUGGUAGUC
rnacentral:rRNA from 1 species